rnacentral:rRNA from 1 species
AUGCUGUGAGCUCGAUGAGUAGGGCGGGACACGUGGUAUCCUGUCUGAAUAUGGGGGGACCAUCCUCCAAGGCUAAAUACUCCUGACUGACCGAUAGUGAACCAGUACCGUGAGGGAAAGGCGAAAAGAACCCCGGCGAGGGGAGUGAAAAAGAACCUGAAACCGUGUACGUACAAGCAGUGGGAGCACGCUUAGGCGUGUGACUGCGUACCUUUUGUAUAAUGGGUCAGCGACUUAUAUUCUGUAGCAAGGUUAACCGAAUAGGGGAGCCGAAGGGAAACCGAGUCUUAACUGGGCGUUAAGUUGCAGGGUAUAGACCCGAAACCCGGUGAUCUAGCCAUGGGCAGGUUGAAGGUUGGGUAACACUAACUGGAGGACCGAACCGACUAAUGUUGAAAAAUUAGCGGAUGACUUGUGGCUGGGGGUGAAAGGCCAAUCAAACCGGGAGAUAGCUGGUUCUCCCCGAAAGCU